AUUGAACGCUGGCGGCAGGCCUAACACAUGCAAGUCGAGCGGAUGACGGGAGCUUGCUCCUUGAUUCAGCGGCGGACGGGUGAGUAAUGCCUAGGAAUCUGCCUGGUAGUGGGGGACAACGUUUCGAAAGGAACGCUAAUACCGCAUACGUCCUACGGGAGAAAGCAGGGGACCUUCGGGCCUUGCGCUAUCAGAUGAGCCUAGGUCGGAUUAGCUAGUUGGUGGGGUAAUGGCUCACCAAGGCGACGAUCCGUAACUGGUCUGAGAGGAUGAGCGGUCACACUGGAACUGAGACACGGUCCAGACUCCUACGGGAGGCAGCAGUGGGGAAUAUUGGACAAUGGGCGAAAGCCUGAUCCAGCCAUGCCGCGUGUGUGAAGAAGGUCUUCGGAUUGUAAAGCACUUUAAGUUGGGAGGAAGGGCAGUAAGCUAAUACCUUGCUGUUUUGACGUUACCGACAGAAUAAGCACCGGCUAACUCUGUGCCAGCCGCCGCGGUAA
rnacentral:rRNA from 1 species